rfam:Schistosoma curassoni strain Dakar, Senegal genome assembly, scaffold: SCTD_scaffold0005370
AUCUAGCUAACGAAUCCUAAAUAGGACGGAACACGCGUCCUAAAU